rnacentral:rRNA from 1 species
UACAGAGGUCUCAAGCGUUGUUCGGAUUCAUUGGGCGUAAAGGGUGCGUAGGUGGCGUCGUAAGUGGGGUGUGAAAGCCCCGGGCUCAACCUGGGAAUUGCAUUCGAGACUGAAUAGCUAGGGUACGGUAGAGGGAAGUGGAAUUCCCGGUGUAGCGGUGGAAUGCGUAGAGAUCGGGAAGAACAUCAGUGGCGAAGGCGGUCUGCUGGGCCGUUGCUGACGCUGAGGCGCGACAGCGUGGGGAGCAAACAGG